GCUGGCCUCUCAUAAGCACGCAUGGAGAUAAGACACAUAUUCAUUAAUUAAAUCUUGCAACCGUUGCUUCUGGUUUCUUGCCCCCUUAGUAACCUUCUUGUGUUGAAUACCUGCAAGGAACAGUAGCAACAAACUUUGAACGACAAAUUAUUUGCGAAUUUGAAUUGGAAACAUUUCCUUGUACUUUACAAUAUUUCACAUGCAUUUGGCAAACCCUGUAUAAAAAGUAUUUCGAAUUACUAAUUAUCGGAAGGAGUGAGAGUUUAUUGUAUGUGUAUGACUGUAAUAUAAGUCAUAGUAGAUUGAAAGCAGAAAGAUUUUUUUCUCACCAAGUCCUCUUUAAAUAGUUUCAAUAGUAUAUUUCCACUUUUCUUUUGCUUUUUAAGAACAUUUCCUGGCAUUUCUCAGAUCAGACAAAAUUCAUAUACUAAUAGAUUCUAUUGUUAUUUUCUCUUUUCUACCAGCUGAAGCAUAACUUUGGCUCAAUACACCAUACACAUGGUCGGGUCAUCAACUUCUUUAUUUUUGGUCCAUUUCCUGUAGGAGAGACUUCCAAUGCCCCAGACUGGAGUGAGGGAAAAACAUAAGAUCAAAAUAAAAGCAUUGUGAAGGAAACAGUUGAACUUCACCUGACACACCUAAUAUGUAUGUCCUACAGUGUGUGGUGUCCAAAUGUUGGCUUUCCAUCCUCUGUCAUGCUUCUGGGAUACUUUCAGACUCCUGGUGUGAGCAGUCUCCCAGAUGAAAAUCACUGGCCCAGCAACAUCUUUUCUGGCUGACACAUCUAUCUCUCCUUUGUCCUCGAUCGCAGUAAUCCAUCCCCUAUGAUUCCCUCGGCAAGAUCGUUUCCUCCUCACAGGUGAUUAGCUCUAUAACUCAUGCUUGGCAUUCACUUCAGGAUGGCUCCAGCCUGCUUCCCUUCUAUGGAGCCCACACGAGGCUCAGGAUCAUGGGAAAAUGUAGGAUUGUCCACCUUAUCUCUGGAAUGGACUGGGGAUCCGCUCCCUCUAAACUAGGAGGACAAGUGCUUCCCUCUUCUCACCUGAUCUAACAAAGAGCCAUGGAUGGUUGGCUUAAACAGCUGUUGCUGUCUCAUAGUGUUAGAGGCCGAAAAGGCCAAGAUUCAGUUCCUCAAGGAAGGCUUUCUUACUGGUACAUUAUGGGCACACUUGGGAUUUUGCUCUUCUUUACCCUGCAAUUUGAGUCUAUGAGCAGCACAGAGGGACUGUUCUCUGUAAAUGGACAAUGUCACAUGAGGAAGAAAUCCAUUUCUGUUCUGCAUAAGCUGGGUGGUGGUUUAUCUUCAUGAUCAACACAGCUGUAUUGGAGUGAACCAAGGAGACAGUAACACAUAACCGCUAGGUGCGUCUGGAAGCCUCUUCUAGAGAUUAGGGAUGUGCUGUAGAAUAUUGGACAAAGAAUGGGGUACUUGAUCCUGUAUAUAGUGCUGUUGUUAAACUGAAGCAGAAGUACCAGUAGACUUAGCAGAAAAAUCAACUUGGCCUCUCGUAUGAAUAGGUCAGCAUGUGCACAACUGAGCCCAGGACUCCAGAGAGCUCCAUCACUGCAGACUGCAACAGGCUUUUAGUCUCUAUAACUUGCUACUCAUUUUCCCAAAGACCAUCUAAUGACAUAGCCACACGAUAAUCCUCUCCACAUAUUUCUCUGCUCACACAUCCAGCAAUAUUUUUACAAGCAAAUCUCAGAUUAAAAUUUAUUUGUUUCUCUUAAAUC
rnacentral:lncRNA from 1 species